rfam:Picea glauca, whole genome shotgun sequence.
GCAAAGGCCCUAUUCAGGGCUACUGAAAAAUCCGUUGUCAAAUUCAU